rnacentral:rRNA from 1 species
GGGUGAGUAAUGUAUCGGAACGUGCCCAGUCGUGGGGGAUAACUGCUCGAAAGAGCAGCUAAUACCGCAUACGACCUGAGGGUGAAAGCGGGGGAUCGCAAGACCUCGCGCGAUUGGAGCGGCCGAUAUCAGAUUAGGUAGUUGGUGAGGUAAAGGCUCACCAAGCCGACGAUCUGUAGCUGGUCUGAGAGGACGACCAGCCACACUGGGACUGAGACACGGCCCAGACUCCUACGGGAGGCAGCAGUGGGGAAUUUUGGACAAUGGGCGCAAGCCUGAUCCAGCCAUGCCGCGUGCGGGAAGAAGGCCUUCGGGUUGUAAACCGCUUUUGUCAGGGAAGAAAAGGUUCUGGCUAAUACCUGGGACUCAUGACGGUACCUGAAGAAUAAGCACCGGCUAACUACGUGCCAGCAGCCGCGGUAAUCCGUAGGGUGCAAGCGUUAAUCGGAAUUACUGGGCGUAAAGCGUGCGCAGGCGGUUAUGCAAGACAGAGGUGAAAUCCCCGGGCUCAACCUGGGAACUGCCUUUGUGACUGCAUGGCUAGAGUACGGUAGAGGGGGAUGGAAUUCCGCGUGUAGCAGUGAAAUGCGUAGAUAUGCGGAGGAACACCGAUGGCGAAGGCAAUCCCCUGGACCUGUACUGACGCUCAUGCACGAAAGCGUGGGGAGCAAACAGGAUUAGAUACCCUG